AGAGUUUGAUCCUGGCUCAGAUUGAACGCUGGCGGCAUGCCUUACACAUGCAAGUCGAACGGCAGCACGGGAGCAAUCCUGGUGGCGAGUGGCGAACGGGUGAGUAAUAUAUCGGAACGUGCCCAGUUGUGGGGGAUAGCCCGGCGAAAGCCGGAUUAAUACCGCAUACGACCUAAGGGUGAAAGCGGGGGAUCGCAAGACCUCGCGCAAUUGGAGCGGCCGAUAUCAGAUUAGCUAGUUGGUGGGGUAAAGGCUCACCAAGACGACGAUCUGUAGCUGGUCUGAGAGGACGACCAGCCACACUGGGACUGAGACACGGCCCAGACUCCUACGGGAGGCAGCAGUGGGGAAUUUUGGACAAUGGGCGCAAGCCUGAUCCAGCCAUGCCGCGUGUGGGAAGAAGGCCUUCGGGUUGUAAACCACUUUUGUCAGGGAAGAAACGGUCCUUACUAAUAUUAGGGGCUAAUGACGGUACCUGAAGAAUAAGCACCGGCUAACUAGUGCCAGCAGCCGCGGUAAUAC
rnacentral:rRNA from 1 species